rnacentral:rRNA from 1 species
GACGAACGCUGGCGGCGUGCUUAACACAUGCAAGUCGAACGGAAAGGCCCUGCUUGCAGGGUACUCGAGUGGCGAACGGGUGAGUAACACGUGGGUGAUCUGCCCUUCACUUCGGGAUAAGCUUGGGAAACUGGGUCUAAUACCGGAUAGGAGCCAUCUUUAGUGUGGUGGUUGGAAAGUUUUUUCGGUGUAGGAUGAGCUCGCGGCCUAUCAGCUUGUUGGUGGGGUAAUGGCCUACCAAGGCGGCGACGGGUAGCCGGCCUGAGAGGGUGUACGGCCACAUUGGGACUGAGAUACGGCCCAGACUCCUACGGGAGGCAGCAGUGGGGAAUAUUGCACAAUGGGCGCAAGCCUGAUGCAGCGACGCCGCGUGGGGGAUGAAGGCCUUCGGGUUGUAAACUCCUUUCGCUAGGGACGAAGCUUUGUUGUGACGGUACCUAGAUAAGAAGCACCGGCUAACUACGUG